UUCUCAAUCAAUCCCAGUUUAUUCAGUCCAAGAGUGCUCCCUAUAUUCAAGAGCUGACAUAGAUGAAUCUUUAGUCAUGGACUGAAGAGAUAAAUGAGAAAAACAAAGAGUUCCCAUGGAAUAAUCAUCAGAUUUUAUGCUUCACCAGUUCCUGUCACUUCCCAAUAGCAUGAUGCUGAAGACUGGAUUUUACUAUGUAAACGUUUUCAAGACACUGAAGAUUUGAAGUAUUUUUUAAUAUAGCCAACUUUUCUCAUAACAAGUCCUUUAUUUGAAUCAGGCAAAUAUGCAAACAGAAUGCUGUUGUAAGACUCCAGGGAGCCUUAGCUUUCUGGAGAUCCUGUGAAUAAAACACAUGAAGCUGGGAUUGAUGCAAAAAGCAAGAGGAAUCUAUUGUUCCUGUGCACCAGGUUCGUCCCAGACCCAAAGGAGAGGCAGUGGCCCCCAGCACCCAACUGCCCCCAGACUAGAGAUGAACCUACUACAUUGUGAAUGCUGGCAAAUACUCUACAACUGUAUUACAUCCCAGGGCUGGAACCCAACUCAUCUUCUGCAACAAUUACAGGCAGGCUGGAUGAAGACACUCAACCUACACUGUAGCCAUCUCAUGAAUGGUUCAUGAGAAUGGCUUCCAAAAUGAUUUCAAGACUGAGAAUGUUUAGCUAUCUGGGAGAGAAAAUAAGGAGACUCAGUCUACACUGUACAUUAAGGACUGUUUAUUCUGUUAAAGGCUGACAUAGAUUAUUGACUCAUGUCACAUGUGAAAGUAAAUAAAAAUCCAGGUUAAUGUAUGCAUCUGGUAGGAUUUACCAAACACACCACCAUACAUGAGUGGACUUAGAAAGACCCAGGCCCCUCAGGGUUCUAAGGUAUUCAAGGAGUCCCCACAAAUACAAUAGUAACAUGCUAGUGUAGUCUAAAUUUUCUCUCACUGGUCUCACCUUAGUUCUAGUGUACUGCUG